UUGUUUAAAUAUAGCAACUGUAGUGUUUAUUUGUAUUGCUGCAUCUCACAAGUAUUUAAUUUUUCUAGGGGCAAAAUGUCAUGCCAUGUUUGCACUUUGUAAAAGCUGUGGCAAGGACAGAGAUACAGCCAUGGCUCAAAGUCAUGUCCAGUGUGCAAACUGGCCACACUGGACCUGACUCUGGACACAGAGUCCAUGAACUCUGUUCUGUUGCAGUAGAGUUCUGGGGCUUUUCCACUCUUUUUGAAGCGGUAUGUGGUAGGAUUGUGAGCUACUGAAAACAAAGCCUGUUAGCUGUCCUUGUAUCAAUCAUAAGCAAGAGAGCAUGUGUAUACUCAGGUAUUUCCCUGUCAUGGAUGUGAAAGAACUCUUAAGGCAUAGGGGUUUGGUACUUUAAAGCUUAAGCAAUUACUCAUGAGGACACAAGUUUUUCUCAGUGUUUAGAAGAUUUAUGUUUCCUGUUGACACUUGCUGCAUGAAAGGAGCAUGCAUGUUGCAUCUAAAGAGCAAGACAGUAUUUGCUGUUUACUGUAAGAUGAAAAUAUGCAUUAAAAACUUUAAAAGGAAAUACAAACUUGAGGCAGUAACUGAUUGACAUCUGUGGAUGUCAUUUUUCUCUUGUGAUUCUGGCAUUUCAUGCCUUGCUAAAUAUCACCCACAGCUAUCUGUUGGAUGUGUCAGUAAGCGAUACAGUAUGACAGCUGCUCUUCACCACUCCACAGCAUCAGUUCAUUCAGUAAUAAGCUUGCAUGUGUUUUUAUCUUUGUUGUCUCUUUCCUAACAGUUCAAAAUAAAAAUAGUGUUUGUAACUGAUACUGCAUUCUCCCCAGUCCUAAGGUCUGGAGUAAGCAACCCUGUGCUCUAAAUGGCUGCGUUAUCUGCUUGGUGUUCAUCAAAGAGAAUGAGAAAAUACACGGAUGCGUAGUGUCAUCUGGGUAGGAUUUGGCUAACUCUGUUUUUCAGCAGCAAUUUUGUUACCUGUGCUCCAGAGAUGCCCACUCUCAGAUUGGGAGGGCCCUGUCUAUUCUUCCAGCACCUGAGCCAAACCCAUAACCACGGAAUGGGCAAGCAGAGCCAUAAGUGCCUACAUGCCCCUGCUCUUCACUGUAUCUGGCUCAACUGCUUGAAUACCAUGACUCACUCCACUGGUAGAGGGUACAGAUGAGCAUGGAAGAACAAUCUCUCUCUUGCAAGGAAGUUAAAAUUUCUCAAGUUGAUUACCUUCAAUAGCCUUUCAACCUCUUUUAAUAUGGCUGAAAGCCUGAACCUGUUCAUGACUUAAGAUUCUCAGUUGUUCCCUGAUCUAGCAGCAGUAGGAAAUAGGAAAGUGGCCACAUUGACAAAUACUCCAGAAUACUGGUGUCAGUUCAUGUAGAUCACUGACCAAAGUGACUAAAUACAAGUGAGAACA